UACGUAGGGUGCGAGCGUUGUCCGGAAUUACUGGGCGUAAAGAGCUCGUAGGUGGUUUGUCGCGUUGUUCGUGAAAUCUCACGGCUUAACUGUGAGCGUGCGGGCGAUACGGGCAGACUGGAGUGCUGCAGGGGAGACUGGAAUUCCUGGUGUAGCGGUGGAAUGCGCAGAUAUCAGGAGGAACACCGGUGGCGAAGGCGGGUCUCUGGGCCGAUAUUGACGCUGAGGAGCGAAAGCGUGGGGAGCGAACAGG
rnacentral:rRNA from 1 species